AACGAACGCUGGCGGCAUGCCUAACACAUGCAAGUCGAACGAGACCUUCGGGUCUAGUGGCGCACGGGUGCGUAACGCGUGGGAACCUGCCCUUAGGUUCGGAAUAACUCCCCGAAAGGGGUGCUAAUACCGGAUAAUGUCUUCGGACCAAAGAUUUAUCGCCUUUGGAUGGGCCCGCGUUGGAUUAGCUAGUUGGUAGGGUAAAAGCCUACCAAGGCGACGAUCCAUAGCUGGUCUGAGAGGAUGAUCAGCCACACUGGGACUGAGACACGGCCCAGACUCCUACGGGAGGCAGCAGUGGGGAAUAUUGGACGAUGGGCGAAAGCCUGAUCCAGCAAUGCCGCGUGAGUGAUGAAGGCCUUAGGGUUGUAAAGCUCUUUUACCCGGGAUGAUAAUGACAGUACCGGGAGAAUAAGCUCCGGUUAACUCCGUG
rnacentral:rRNA from 1 species